UACAGAGGGGGCGAGCGUUGUUCGGAAUUACUGGGCGUAAAGGGCGCGUAGGCGGCCCGCUAAGUCGAACGUGAAAUCCCCAGGCUCAACCUGGGAACUGCGUCCGAUACUGGCAGGCUUGAAUCCGGGAGAGGGAUGUGGAAUUCCAGGUGUAGCGGUGAAAUGCGUAGAUAUCUGGAGGAACACCGGUGGCGAAGGCGGCAUCCUGGACCGGUAUUGACGCUGAGGAGCGAAAGCUAGGGGAGCAAACGGG
rnacentral:rRNA from 1 species